GAUGAACGCUGGCGGCGUGCCUAAUACAUGCAAGUCGAGCGAACAGACGAGGAGCUUGCUCCUCUGACGUUAGCGGCGGACGGGUGAGUAACACGUGGAUAACCUACCUAUAAGACUGGGAUAACUUCGGGAAACCGGAACUAAUACCGGAUAAUAUAUUGAACCGCAUGGUUCAAUAGUGAAAGACGGUUUUGCUGUCACUUAUAGAUGGAUCCGCGCCGCAUUAGCUAGUUGGUAAGGUAACGGCUUACCAAGGCGACGAUGCGUAGCCGACCUGAGAGGGUGAUCGGCCACACUGGUACUGAGACACGGUCCAGACUCCUACGGGAGGCAGCAGUAGGGAAUCUUCCGCAAUGGGCGAAAGCCUGACGGAGCAACGCCGCGUGAGUGAUGAAGGUCUUCGGAUCGUAAAACUCUGUUAUUAGGGAAGAACAAAUGUGUAAGUAACUAUGCACGUCUUGACGGUACCUAAUCAGAAAGCCACGGCUAACUACGUG
rnacentral:rRNA from 1 species